GACGAACGCUGGCGGCGUGCUUAACACAUGCAAGUCGAACGGAAAGGCCCUGCUUUUGUGGGGUGCUCGAGUGGCGAACGGGUGAGUAACACGUGAGUAACCUGCCCCUGACUUUGGGAUAACUUCAGGAAACAGGGGCUAAUACCGGCUAGGAUCUCUUGCCGCAUGGUGGGGGUGGGUAAGAUUCGGCGGUUGGGGCUGGACUCGCGGCUUAUCAGCUUGUUGGUGGGGUAGUGGCUUACCAAGGCUUUGACGGGUAGCCGGCCUGGGAGGGUGACCGGCCACAUUGGGCCUGAGAUACGGCCCAGACUCCUACGGGAGGCAGCAGUGGGGAAUAUUGCACAGUGGGCGGGAGCCUGAUGCGGCCACGCCGCGUGCGGGAUGACGUCCUUCGGGUUGUGAACCGCUUUCGCCUGUGACGAAGCGUGAGUGACGGUAAUGGGUAAAGAAGCACCGGCUAACUACGUG
rnacentral:rRNA from 1 species